rnacentral:tRNA from 1 species
CAGAGAUUAGUUUAAUAAAAAUUUUAAUUUUGGAGAUUAAAGAUGGAAGAAUAUUCUAUCUCUGA